GGGAGNAGGUGUACGAGGUCUCCUUAGUNAUGUGGGCAAUCUGCCCUGCACUCUGGGACAAGCCCUGGAAACGGGGUCUAAUACCGGAUAUGACUGUCCGCCGCANGGNGGANGGNANAAAGCCCGCCCGGCAGGANGAGCCCGCGGCCACAGCAGGGGGGAGGAGGGCCACCAACGCGACGACGCGAGCCGGCCGAGAGGGCCACCGGCCACACGGAANGAGACACGGCCCAGACCCCGAAGGGAGGCAGCAGGGAGGAAUAGCAAAAUGGGCGAAAGCCUGAGCAGCGACGCCGCGUGAGGGAUGACGGCCCGGGGUAAACCUCUUUCAGCAGGGAAGAAGCGAAAGUGACGGUACCUGCAGAAGAAGCGCCGGCUAACUACGUGCCAGCAGCCGCGGUAAUACGUAGGGCGCAAGCGGUCCGGAAUUAUUGGGCGUAAAGAGCUCGUAGGCGGCUUGUCACGUCGGUUGUGAAAGCCCGGGGCUUAACCCCGGGUCUGCAGUCGAUACGGGCAGGCUAGAGUUCGGUAGGGGAGAUCGGAAUUCCUGGUGUAGCGGUGAAAUGCGCAGAUAUCAGGAGGAACACCGGUGGCGAAGGCGGAUCUCUGGGCCGAUACUGACGCUGAGGAGCGAAAGCGUGGGGAGCGAACAGGAUUAGAUACCCUGGUAGUCCACGCCGUAAACGGUGGGCACUAGGUGUGGGCAACAUUCCACGUUGUCCGUGCCGCAGCUAACGCAUUAAGUGCCCCGCCUGGGGAGUACGGCCGCAAGGCUAAAACUCAAGGAAUUGACGGGGGCCCGCACAAGCGGCGGAGCAUGUGGCUUAAUUCGACGCAACGCGAAGAACCUUACCAAGGCUUGACAUACACCGGAAANCUCCGGAGACGGGGCCCCCCNUGUGUCGGUGUACAGGUGGGCAUGGCUGUCGUCAGCUCGUGUCGGAGAUGUUGGGUUAAGUCCCGCAACAAGCGCAACCCUUGUCCCGUGCCAGCAGGCCCGGGGGCGGGGAACACCGGAGACACCCGCGGCAAACCGAGGAAAGGGGGGACGACGACAAGCACAGCCCCCAGUCUGGGCGCACACGGCACAAGCGACGGACAGAGCGCGACACCGCGAGGGGAGCGAANCNAAAAAAAAAGGCCAGCGGAGGGACGCAACCGACCCAAGAAGUCGGAGUCGCUAGUAAUCGCAGAUCAGCAUUGCUGCGGUGAAUACGUUCCCGGGCUUGUACCCACCAACCAGUACGUCAUAAAAUUCCUCAAUAAUCCUCCCNACC
rnacentral:rRNA from 1 species